AUUGAACGCUGGCGGCAGGCCUAACACCUGCAAGUCGAACGAGUGGCGGACGGGUGAGUAAUGUCUGGGAAACUGCCCGAUGGAGGGGUCUAACUACUGGAAACGGUAACUAAUCCCGCAUACCAUCGGAUGUGCCCAGAUGGGCUUAGCUAGUAGGUGGGGUAACGGCUCACCUAGGCUACGAUCCCUAGCUGGUCUGCGUGGAUGACCCGCCACACUGGAACUGAGACACGGUCCAGACGCCUACGGGAGGCAUCAGUGGGGAUUAUUGCACAAUGGGCGCAAGCCUGAUGCAGCCAGGCCGCGUGUAUGAAGAAGGCCUUCGGGUUGUAAAGUACUUUCAGCGAGGAGGCGUUAUUCGCAGAAGAAGCACCGGCUAACUCCGUGCCAGCAGCCGCGGUAAGAC
rnacentral:rRNA from 1 species